CAGUCGCGCGGUAAUACGGAGGGUGCAAGCGUUAAUCGGAAUUACUGGGCGUAAAGCGCACGCAGGCGGUCUGACAAGUCAGAUGUGAAAUCCCCGGGCUUAACCUGGGAACUGCAUUUGAAACUGUCAGGCUGGAGUCUUGUAGAGGGGGGUGGAAUUCCAGGUGUAGCGGUGAAAUGCGUAGAGAUCUGGAGGAAUACCGGUGGCGAAGGCGGCCCCCUGGACAAAGACUGACGCUCAGGUGCGAAAGCGUGGGGAGCAAACAGGAUUAGAUACCCGAGUAGUCCCUGUCUCUUAUACA
rnacentral:rRNA from 1 species